rnacentral:rRNA from 1 species
UACAGAGGUGGCAAGCGUUGUUCGGAAUUACUGGGCGUAAAGGGCGCGUAGGCGGUUCGGUAAGUCCUGUGUGAAAUCCCUCGGCCCAACUGAGGAACUGCACGGGAGACUGCCGGGCUUGAGUUCGGGAGAGGGAAGCGGAAUUCCGGGUGUAGCGGUGAAAUGCGUAGAUAUCCGGAGGAACACCGGUGGCGAAGGCGGCUUCCUGGACCGACACUGACGCUGAGGCGCGAAAGCUAGGGGAGCAAACAGG